rnacentral:rRNA from 1 species
CUAUCGUUAACUGAAUACAUAGGUUAACGAGGCGAACCGGGGGAACUGAAACAUCUAAGUACCCCGAGGAAAAGAAAUCAACCGAGAUUCCCCCAGUAGCGGCGAGCGAACGGGGAGCAGCCCAGAGUCUGAAUCAGCUUGUGUGUUAGUGGAACGGUCUGGAAAGUCCGACGGUACAGGGUGAUAGUCCCGUACACCAAAAUGCACAGGUUGUGAACUCGAAGAGUAGGGCGGGACACGUGGUAUCCUGUCUGAAUAUGGGGGGACCAUCCUCCAAGGCUAAAUACUCCUGACUGACCGAUAGUGAACCAGUACCGUGAGGGAAAGGCGAAAAGAACCCCGGCGAGGGGAGUGAAAAAGAACCUGAAACCGUGUACGUACAAGCAGUGGGAGCACCUUCGGGUGUGACUGCGUACCUUUUGUAUAAUGGGUCAGCGACUUAUAUUCUGUAGCAAGGUUAACCGUAUAGGGGAGCCGCAGGGAAACCGAGUCUUAACUGGGCGUUAAGUUGCAGGGUAUAGACCCGAAACCCGGUGAUCUAGCCAUGGGCAGGUUGAAGGUUGGGUAACACUAACUGGAGGACCGAACCGACUAAUGUUGAAAAAUUAGCGGAUGACUUGUGGCUGGGGGUGAAAGGCCAAUCAAACCGGGAGAUAGCUGGUUCUCCCCGAAAGCUAUUUAGGUAGCGCCUCGUGAACUCAUCUUCGGGGGUAGAGCACUGUUUCGGCUAGGGGGUCAUCCCGACUUACCAACCCGAUGCAAACUACGAAUACCGAAGAAUGUUAUCACGGGAGACACACGGCGGGUGCUAACGUCCGUCGUGAAGAGGGAAACAACCCAGACCGCCAGCUAAGGUCCCAAAGUCAUGGUUAAGUGGGAAACGAUGUGGGAAGGCACAGACAGCCAGGAUGUUGGCUUAGAAGCAGCCAUCAUUUAAAGAAAGCGUAAUAGCUCACUGGUCGAGUCGGCCUGCGCGGAAGAUGUAACGGGGCUAAACCAUGCACCGAAGCUGCGGCAGCGACACUAUGUGUUGUUGGGUAGGGGAGCGUUCUGUAAGCCUGCGAAGGUGUGCUGUGAGGCAUGCUGGAGGUAUCAGAAGUGCGAAUGCUGACAUAAGUAACGAUAAAGCGGGUGAAAAGCCCGCUCGCCGGAAGACCAAGGGUUCCUGUCCAACGUUAAUCGGGGCAGGGUGAGUCGACCCCUAAGGCGAGGCCGAAAGGCGUAGUCGAUGGGAAACAGGUUAAUAUUCCUGUACUUGGUGUUACUGCGAAGGGGGGACGGAGAAGGCUAUGUUAGCCGGGCGACGGUUGUCCCGGUUUAAGCAUGUAGGCUGAUUGUCCAGGCAAAUCCGGAUAAUCAAGGCUGAGGUGUGAUGACGAGGCACUACGGUGCUGAAGUAACAAAUGCCCUGCUUCCAGGAAAAGCCUCUAAGCAUCAGGUAACAUUAAAUCGUACCCCAAACCGACACAGGUGGUCAGGUAGAGAAUACCAAGGCGCUUGAGAGAACUCGGGUGAAGGAACUAGGCAAAAUGGUGCCGUAACUUCGGGAGAAGGCACGCUGGUGUGUAGGUGAAGUCCCUGCGGAUGGAGCUGAGACCAGUCGAAGAUACCAGCUGGCUGCAACUGUUUAUUAAAAACACAGCACUGUGCAAACACGAAAGUGGACGUAUACGGUGUGACGCCUGCCCGGUGCCGGAAGGUUAAUUGAUGGGGUUAUCCGUAAGGAGAAGCUCUUGAUCGAAGCCCCGGUAAACGGCGGCCGUAACUAUAACGGUCCUAAGGUAGCGAAAUUCCUUGUCGGGUAAGUUCCGACCUGCACGAAUGGCGUAAUGAUGGCCAGGCUGUCUCCACCCGAGACUCAGUGAAAUUGAACUCGCUGUGAAGAUGCAGUGUACCCGCGGCAAGACGGAAAGACCCCGUGAACCUUUACUAUAGCUUGACACUGAACAUUGAGCCUUGAUGUGUAGGAUAGGUGGGAGGCUUUGAAGCGUGGACGCCAGUCUGCGUGGAGCCAACCUUGAAAUACCACCCUUUAAUGUUUGAUGUUCUAACGUUGGCCCCUUACCGGGGUUGCGGACAGUGUCUGGUGGGUAGUUUGACUGGGGCGGUCUCCUCCCAAAGCGUAACGGAGGAGCACGAAGGUUAGCUAAUCCUGGUCGGACAUCAGGAGGUUAGUGCAAUGGCAUAAGCUAGCUUGACUGCGAGCGUGACGGCGCGAGCAGGUGCGAAAGCAGGUCAUAGUGAUCCGGUGGUUCUGAAUGGAAGGGCCAUCGCUCAACGGAUAAAAGGUACUCCGGGGAUAACAGGCUGAUACCGCCCAAGAGUUCAUAUCGACGGCGGUGUUUGGCACCUCGAUGUCGGCUCAUCACAUCCUGGGGCUGAAGUAGGUCCCAAGGGUAUGGCUGUUCGCCAUUUAAAGUGGUACGCGAGCUGGGUUUAGAACGUCGUGAGACAGUUCGGUCCCUAUCUGCCGUGGGCGCUGGAGAAUUGAGGGGGGCUGCUCCUAGUACGAGAGGACCGGAGUGGACGCAUCACUGGUGUUCGGGUUGUCAUGCCAAUGGCACUGCCCGGUAGCUAAAUGCGGAAGAGAUAAGUGCUGAAAGCAUCUAAGCACGAAACUUGCCCCGAGAUGAGUUCUCCCUGAGACUUUAAGUCUCCUGAAGGAACGUUGAAGACGACGACGUUGAUAGGCCGGGUGUGUAAGCGCAGCGAUGCGUUGAGCUAACCGGUACUAAUGAACCGUGAGGCUUAACCUU